rnacentral:lncRNA from 1 species
GGAACUAACCAUUUAUCAAAAGAUUUGGGAUUAUUUCCUUAUAUUAUUGGGAAUUGUCGCGUAAGUUUUCUAACAAAAGUGUAGAAGUGAGUUUGAUUUGUGUGACAAUGCAAGACAUGGUGGUCAACUGUAUAAAACAGUUACUUGACUGAUUUGUUUACUACAUGUCAAGCUUUUAGCCAGGAUCAAAACUGGUCGUCCAAAAAUUACCAUGGGUGUGGCAACCUACAGGUAUUUUCGUGGACGUGGUCAAAAAACAUGGCGCUUGAAAUCAAUUGUUGUUUGCUUAUACUUCAGCGUCUUUUCGACAGGAAAGUGUAGAAGUAAACAGCAGCUGACAGCUUUUGAAGUAUUUAGGAAAUAUCACAAACUUGCGAGUUGCUGUUUAAAGAAAACAUUUUGUCAGGCCGUCUGUGGCUGUUUAUUAAAAAGUUGCCGUCUAAAUUCAAAAGUGGUCGUUCAUAGGACGGUUGGGCGACCGCCUGGCUAAGUGCCUGCCAUGUGGGGUAUAAUUUUGAAACUUGCUCACACAAGUGGAAUAGUUUGGAAAUAUAUAUAUCCCCCGAGCCCUUUGCGCGUCAGGCGAAGCACGUAGCGGGUGUACUAAUUUCGCACGGCUAUGUACACCUGCGGGGAAAGGCCAGGAGCUAGCGAAAUGAAAAGUCCACCAUUAUUGCGGGCACAUGGGUGAUGAGCUAUCACCAUUGAUCUCAAAAGUAUGGUGGACUGCCAGAAGUGGAACAAGCAAGAUUUAAAGGGGAAACGUUUGAUAAAAUUAAUUUUGUUUCGAGGGAAUAACAAAAUAUGACAUCGUGAAGUAUAAUGAAGUUUGUUUUGAUUGUUUUUUGUAUGUGUUGCUUUGAAAUGUUUUGCUUAAACAAUGUUUUUCACAUAAAUUAUACAUUUAUUAAACCUAAAUUACGGAAACCACUGAGUAUUUUGAUAAAAUACAAAACAAAAGAUACUCCGAAAAUUAAAAGCAUUUUGAAAAUUUAUUUCGACGUUUCAACUAAACUAUAGUCAUCAUCAGGAAAUGAAUGAUCAUUCAUUUCCUGAUGAUGACUAUAGUUUAGUCGAAACGUCGAAAUAAAUUUUCAAAAUGCUUUCAAUUUUCGGAGUAUCUAUUGUUUUGUAUUAGACCUAACCAGGAACAGCUGCGAAAAAUGCAACUACAGAUCCCUGGCAGGAGUUGAACCUGCGAUUCCGGUGCAGCGCUCUAACCAACUGAGCUACCGAGGCCAGUUGUCGAGCUCUAUUGAUUGAUAUGCCCAAAAUCUUGAUAGCAUUUACAAUUUGAUUCAACUAACUUUGUUUCUCUUGCCAGAGGAUGCAUGGGUACAAGAGAUGCCGUGGAAAGACUUUUAUCUCGGGAUGACACAGAAAUAUAACACAGUUUUAAUAAUUAGUUGAUAAUUUAGUUUUAAAUAUUUUUAUAUCAAAGGAUAUACGAACACAUGUUCUAGCUUGGCAACACAAUCGGACAAGUAGCCAGGUGAUUGUGGUCCUAAUAGUAUACAGUAUAUAAAUCUAAACUAUAUUAUUUAUUGGCAACAAAAAUCAAGUUUUAAUGAAGGCUAUAUAAGUUUACAUACGAAGUACUUCUAGAGCAUUGAUUUCCAAGGUUUUACGGUGGGAGCCUCGAUUUCAGCAUAACAUUUCCAUUCACCUAUUUUUAUAUUUGGGGGUGGGGGUGGGGCUUGGCCCAUGGCCGUAAAUACCCCUAGCUAACAUGUGCAGGGACCGCGGAGCCUGUUUAAAAGUUGGGGGGAGCAGGAUAGCACGGGAGCUAUUCCACGCAAGCAGGCUGGAUUUUAUCUGGUAAUUUUUUAUUAUCCACCGAAAAAGUGCCUCCCCCCCUGUUUCGCGGUCCCUGAUGUGUGUGUUACCAUAACCUCGCUAAUUCAAGACAUUCAGCAACAUGAAUUGAAAAUUGCGCAAUAAAAUGUUUUAGUUGACUACACUCCUUCAAAUGCUUCGUCGUUUUAAUCAUUACAACUAUCUGGCGAGUGUAUGCUUUUAGAGUACAAAACAAAAGCAAAAACUGAAAACAUCUUGAAAAUCCAUGAUACAGAUUAAAACAAGAUGUAAUUUAAAGUGAAGAUUGAAAAUUAUGCGUAAAUAUAAAGUGUGACAUUUAUAAGUAGAUGAUUGACAUUAAGUAGUUAUGACGUAAUGGACAUAGAUAUAUAUGCAGGUGACAAUUAGAUAAAGGGAGCUAGACUCAACAUGGCGUGUGUCUAAACAAACACAAUAUUACAUGGUGUCAGGAUGGAAUACAUGAAACCCCCAAAUAUCUUACAUUUAGAAGGCAACUUAGCUGAAAACUGGCGAAAAUGGGAACAACAAUUCAAUUUGUUUUUAGUAGCGAGUGGAAUCGGCGAAAAAUCUGCAAAAGUU